rnacentral:rRNA from 1 species
GCGGCGGAAUGUUGCGUAAAGGGAAAGGUCGCAGUCAAACCCUACAGUCGCACGAUCUCUAAGUUAGCCACGAAUCGGCUGUCCCAUCUAAUAGCGGGAUGACUCCAUGGAGGGUGUAAGACCCGUUUGGGCGUGCGUAAAAACUGUAUGGGCUCGGCCUUUUUUCCCUGAGAGUCGCGUUGCUUGAGCAUGCAGCCCAAAGCAGGUCGUAAACUCGAUCUAAGGCUAAAUAUUUCCACAGGACCGAUAGCAAACAAGUACUGUGAGGGAAAGUUGAAAAGAACUUUGAAGAGAGAGUUCA